UGCCAGCCGCCGCGGUAAUACGGAGGGGGCGAACGUUGCUCGGAUUUACUGGGCGUAAAGCGACCGCAGGCGGUUAGUUUAGUCAGAUGUGAAAUCCCGGUGCUCAACGCCGGAACUGCAUUUGAAACUGGCUAACUAGAGUCAUCAAGAGGAGAUCGGAAUUACCAGUGUAGAGGUGAAAUUCGUAGAUAUUGGUAGGAACACCAGUGGCGAAGGCGGAUCUCUGGGGAUGUACUGACGCUCAGGGUCGAAAGCAUGGGGAGCAAACAGGAUUAGAUA
rnacentral:rRNA from 1 species